rnacentral:misc_RNA from 1 species
GGAGGCAGAGGUAACAGCCAAUGAUGGUUUGUUUACGGCCCGGCGCGCUGUGAGUGGCCGCUUCUGACCAAUCUGUAGUCGCCGUUAUUUCGUCCAAUCUCAGACUGCAGUACCACCUGAGUCUGUUAAAAGAUGGAAGGUGCAGAGGCAGAUGAUAUUGGGGCUUCGUUCCUGUCUAAUGAACAGUACAUGGUGGAGGGUCACAGUGUUCAUGGCCAUCAACACGAAGACGAAGAUAAAGACGACGUCCCUCACCUACUGCGGGAACAAGAUCGUUUUUUACCCAUAGCGAACGUUGCCCGGAUAAUGAAGAAGGGGAUUCCGAAGACUGGCAAGGUAGGAUACAACAAGAUUGCCAAAGAUGCUCGUGAAUGUGUACAGGAGUGUGUUAGUGAGUUCAUCAGUUUUGUAACAAGUGAAGCAUCUGACCGCUGCCACCAGGAGAAGAGAAAGACCAUCAAUGGUGAAGACAUCUUGUGGGCCAUGAAUGCAUUAGGAUUUGAAAACUACGUGGAGCCACUAAAAAUCUACCUCCAAAAAUUCCGUGAGUCUACCAAAGGAGACAAACCAAGUGAAGGAGCUCUGGAAGGGACCUUCGAUGUGGACUAUACAAAUAACAUGACCACCUUCUCAACAGACCACGUCAAUCAGUCCGAAAUUGUGUGUACAUAUGGUCCGGCGGGUCAGGUCACUCAGCAGUUUACUUUAGGUUGAAAUUGUGUUCUUUAGUGCGUGUAUGUGUGUGUGCGUGCGUGUGUGUGUGUGUGUUUUGUUUUGAAUUUUUAUGCAAAUUGUUCGUGGGACAGAACAUGGAGAAAGUGUGGAAGAACACGAUCUGUUCUAAAUAUGCAGUUGUAUAAUCACGUAUACCGGUAAAAUAGGAGAUGUUUUAAGUUUUGUUAAAGCGUACUACUGUACUUGUGUGUAUGGUGUGCUGUUCUGCCCUCACAUUCUAACAUUGUCAGCACAAAGUGUGAGUUAUGCCUUUGUUGGGAAGUAGUUGCGUAUUCAAUUUUAUUUAUUUUUUCUAAAGACAGUAGUUUUGAUGAUAAGCAAAUGUUCCUUAAAAUUUUUAAUUAAAAGCUCAGGGACUUUUCUGUACUUACCUUGGCUCUGUAUUAUAGCUGUCAUCCUCCUAAGAUUUUUAAAAAUAAUAUAAUUUACAUAAAAGUAUAUAUCACUUGGUGAUAUUUUGUUGACUAGCUGCACUUUAUCAAAUUAAUAUGGAAAAGUUUGGCAGUGAUCAGGGAAUGAGUGUUGGUGUUUGGAUGAAAGGUUUGUGGCACCAUAGCACUGUGGAUUCCUGGCUUACAAGACUGAUCAUCCCACGGCCAGACAGUGUAGCUCUGCUCUGGCAUAUUGUAUGCUGUAAUAACCAUUCCCUAGGUCCAAUUUCAGUAUUCUGGGUUUAGCUCAACUGGCCACUUACACCAGGUCCAGUACUCUGGGUUAAGCUGAACUGGCCACUCACACCAGGUCCAGUACUCUGGGUUAAGCUGACCGGGCCACUCACACCAGGUCCAGGUUCAGUACUCUGGGUUAAGCUGACCGGGCCACUCCUAAGGUUCAGUAUAGUACGUACUCUGGGUUAAGCCACCAACCCCCUAUAAAUUGUUGUAAAUGUCAUAAAAAAUGUUUAGAUGAAUCACAGGUGGAUAAAAAUUUUGGUCGCCUUGGAUUGUAAGAAAAGGAGAUUUUUUCACAAAAGCAAAGUUAUCCCAAUAUGUUCUUCCUUUGUGUGUGUGUUUUUUUUUUUUUAAUUGGACAUGAUCAUAUAGGGUUAAUGUUACAUCUACAAACAAUUAGGUACUGUACUGUAUUUCAUAUUUAUAACAGGAUUUCAAAUUGUUCUCAUAUGCAUAGAGCUCUCAGUCAUUUCAAGUCUCUGUGCUGUAUCCCUUCUAUACUUAAGAACACACCACCUACUGAAGUACUGUAGCCAAAGAGGUUGCAGGUAACUAACAUUAUUUUUUAAAUCGGAUCACCACUAAACUAGACACUUUAAUUGUAAAAGAAAUGUGCCUUUUUCAAAAAACUGUUUGCUUUAUGGGGAUAUUACACCAUUUAAUAUUUUUUAUUUUAUUAUUUGUGUAAUAAAAUUGAGUGCAUACAUGUACAGUUUAAGUUAAGUAAAGUAAUGUGUAUGAAGAAAUAUGACAUCUAUCGAUUACAGUAACAAAUGAAGCGUUCAACUUUGGAUACCACGACAGCUUGUGACUAGAGAACUUUAAUCUUUGCUGGAAUGUAAUAGAAAUAAUUUAUAUACUAAGGGACACCUGUAAUUUAUGAGCAACCUGUUGACAUCUGUAACCAUUCUUGAAAAUUUGAAAACAUCAAACCAGAAUAUUCUUGCAUUCCACAGCAUUUGCAUAAUGUUAUAAAUUCAUUAAUUGCUUCAUAUCUGUAAGAUUUCAGAAACUAUUUUUUCUGUAUUUUAAAUAUUAUUCAAAAUCAUAUAUAAUUCAAUAAAAAGUUGAUAAUA